rnacentral:RNase_MRP_RNA from 1 species
CUAACACUGGAUGAUGUGGUUGGGCCGGAUUCAGCCCAGGAAAUUCCCCGGGCCUUUAAAUACAGAGAUGCAUUGGUUGGGAAACCAAGAACUUCGAUAUUGGAAAUCCAUCUCGCACUCUUGCGAGCGGCAGAGACACGUGUGGAGCCGUAUGGAUUUUCAACGAAGUGUUUGGCCGAUGUUAUAACAACAGUUAUUCACAUGUAAUCCAAUUCUGGAUUAAACUGAACGGGGCUUAUGUUCCAGUGUCUA